UACGUAGGGUGCAAGCGUUGUCCGGAAUUAUUGGGCGUAAAGAGCUCGUAGGCGGCCUGUCGCGUCGGCUGUGAAAACCCGAGGCUCAACCUCGGGCCUGCAGUCGAUACGGGCAGGCUAGAGUUCGGUAGGGGGAGACUGGAAUUCCUGGUGUAGCGGUGAAAUGCGCAGAUAUCAGGAGGAACACCGGUGGCGAAGGCGGUGGUCUGGGCCGGCACUGACGCUGAGGAGCGAAAGCGUGGGGAGCGAACAGG
rnacentral:rRNA from 1 species